rnacentral:tRNA from 1 species
AGCGGGGUAGGGCAGCCAGGUAGCCCGCGGGGCUCAUAACCCCGAGGUCGGUGGUUCAAAGCAGGUAGCUACUCUA